GACGAACGCUGGCGGCGCCUAAUACAUGCAAGUCGAACGCAGUGGGGACGGGUGAGUAACACGUGGGUAACCUCCCAUCAGAGGGGAUAACACUUGGCAACAGGUGCUAAAACGAUACUGCUGGAUGGACCCGCGGUGCAUUAGCGAGUUGGUGAGAUAACGGCUCACCAAGGCCACGAUGCAUAGCCGACAUGACAGGGGUACCGGCCACGCUGGGACUGGGACACGGCCCAUAUUCCUACGGGAGGCAGCAGUAGUGAAUCUUCGGCAAUGGACGAAAGUCUGAACGAGCAACGCCGCGUGAGUGAAGAAGGUUUUCGGAUCGUAAAACUCUGUUGUUAGAGAAGCGGUAUCUAACCAGAAAGCCACGGCUAACUACGUGCCAGCAGCCGCGGUAAUAC
rnacentral:rRNA from 1 species